CCGAAGCCCAAUGCUUCCGGCCCAGGAAGCACCGACCGCUCUGGUGAAAUGAACGGUGACACCAAAGACAGAAUCCUGGCCUUGGUGCGGUAACCUGAGCAAUAGCCAAUCUGAUAAAGCGGAGGAAAACCACCCUGGAGUCCGUCAACCCUAUGCGCGGACCUCCUGGAACCCAAAGAGAGCGAACGUCGACAAGAGUCGGAGAUCUUCAAGUAAAAAACGGCAAGGCCCAAACAACGUCCAAAACGGUGAAGUGACCGUUUCCGGGAGUGGAAAGGGGAGGACGUCU